rnacentral:tRNA from 1 species
AGUCUUAUAGUUUAGUUAUAAAAAUUUUGAAUUGCAAGUUCAAAGAUGAUAUUUUCUAAGACUUA